UACGGAGGGUGCAAGCGUUAUCCGGAUUCACUGGGUUUAAAGGGUGCGUAGGUGGGCAGGUAAGUCAGUGGUGAAAUCUCCGAGCUUAACUCGGAAACUGCCGUUGAUACUAUUUGUCUUGAAUAUUGUGGAGGUAAGCGGAAUAUGUCAUGUAGCGGUGAAAUGCUUAGAUAUGACAUAGAACACCAAUUGCGAAGGCAGCUUACUACACAACGAUUGACGCUGAGGCACGAAAGCGUGGGGAUCAAACAGG
rnacentral:rRNA from 1 species